AAAUAUACAAGGAAAAGAAGGAGUAAAGUUGUCUUAUCUUAAUAGAGAGUCAUUGUUUGGUGAAAAAUGAUAAGAGAGCAACUUGAAGGUCGUCUUGGAGUAUAUUGAAUGAAAAAGAGUAGUUCAAUCGUGACUUAGCGUUAAUAAGAAAUGAGGGUAUUUACAUUUUUGUAAAUAAACUAAGGUGGUACCGCGUUUUUAAACGUCCUUAGA
rnacentral:ncRNA from 1 species